GCGCUCGCUGUGGCAGCACGUAUACUAAAACUGGAACAAAACAGAGAUUAGCAUGGCCCUGUGCAAGGAUGACAUGCAAAUUCAUGAAGCAUUUCAUAUUUUU